rnacentral:rRNA from 1 species
CGUGAACCAAAAGACCGCUGAUCGCUCCUAGAACUAAUGUGAAUUGCUGAACCACAUUUGUAACAUAGACCUUUUCUCGCACAACUUUGCCUGCCGGAUACUUCUUAUGCCACGCCU